rnacentral:rRNA from 1 species
UGAAUACGAGACGCUACGGCGUCGAAGCAGUCUAUGUCAUACUUCCAAGAAAAGCUUGCACUGUCAUAAACAAAGAAUGCCUGUACCAUAACCGACACAGGUGGGUAGGUAGAGUAUACUAAGGGGCGCGAGAUAACUCUCUCUAAGGAACUCGGCAAAAUGACUCCGUAACUUCGGGAGAAGGAGUGCCUUAUUUAUAAGGUUGCAAUAACAAGAUCCAAGCAACUGUUUACCAAAAACACAGGUCUCCGCUAAGUCGUAAGACGAUGUAUGGGGGCUGACGCCUGCCCAGUGCCAGAAGGUUAAAGAAGUUGGUUAGCAUUCGCGAAGCUGAUAACUGAAGCCCUGGUGAACGGCGGCCGUAACAAUAACGGUCCUAAGGUAGCGAAAUUCCUUGUCGGGUAAGUUCCGACCCGCACGAAAGGCGUAAUGAUUUGGAUACUGUCUCGGAGAGGGGCUCGGUGAAAUAGACUUGUCUGUGAAGAUGCGGACUACCUGCACCUGGACAGAAAGACCCUAUGAAGCUUUACUGUAACCUGAAAUUGAAAUUGGACUUUAUUUGCGCAGUAUAGGUGGGAGGCGUUGAGAAUUUUCUUGCGGGAAGAUUGGAGCCAUCAGUGAGAUACCACUCUUGUAAUGUUAGAUUUCUAACUUUGGAUCAUUAUCUGGUCAAAGAACAGUUUCAGGCGGGCAGUUUGACUGGGGCGGUCGCCUCCUAAAUGGUAACGGAGGCGCACAAAGGUUUCCUCUGAACGGGUAGAAAUCGUAUCUAGAGUGUAAAGGCAUAAGGAAGCUUGACUGUGAGACCUACAAGUCGAGCAGGGACGAAAGUCGGUCUUAGUGAUCUGACGGUGCUGAGUGGAAAGGCCGUCACUCAACGGAUAAAAGUUACUCUAGGAUAACAGGCUGAUCUCCCCCAAGAGUUCACAUCGACGGGGAGGUUUGGCACCUCGAUGUCGGCUCAUCGCAUCCUGGGGCGGUAGUACGUCCCAAGGGUUGGGCUGUUCGCCCAUGAAAGCGGUACGCGAGCUGGGUUCAGAACGUCGUGAGACAGUUCGGUCCAUAUCCGGUGUAGGCGUUAGAAUAUUGAAAGGAGCCUUCUUUAGUACGAGAGGACCGAGAAGGACAUACCUCUGGUGUACCAGUUAUCGUGCCAACGGUAAACGCUGGGUAGCUAUGUAUGGAGAGGAUAACCGCUGAAAGCAUCUAAGUGGGAAGCCCACCUUAAGAUAAGUAUUCUC